UACGGGGGGGCAAGCGUUGUUCGGAAUUACUGGGCGUAAAGGCUCGUAGGCGGCCAACUAAGUCAUACGUGAAAUCCCUCGGCUUAACCGGGGAACUGCGUCUGAUACUGGAUGGCUUGAGUUCGGGAGAGGGAUGCGGAAUUCCAGGUGUAGCGGUGAAAUGCGUAGAUAUCUGGAGGAACACCGGUGGCGAAGGCGGCAUCCUGGACCGAUACUGACGCUGAGGAGCGAAAGCCAGGGGAGCAAACGGG
rnacentral:rRNA from 1 species